CCGAGCCAGCCCUCAGUUCAUCGCUGUUCUUUCUCCCGUUUGUCUCUCCCUAGACCCACCGUUCCCUAGCCUGGUUACCGGACGGCGAGCUCCAAGGCAGCGCGCCCUCCUAGCCACGGCAAGAAUAGGUUGACAAGAUCGUGCCCCCUCCCCUCUCCCUUGUCCGCCCCAAGACCACGUCCCCUGGUGUGCAAGUCGCCCCCUCCCCUCCCCUAGACCCUAGCUGCGAAAUCGGCAGCUUGUUCAGCCGUUUAGGUGGUAGCCUUCGAUCUGGGGACCAACCGUAGUGUGUACGAUUUCGAGAAGACAACGACGCAGGCGGCGCAGCGGCCGGCGCUUGGCUCGGUUCCGCAGGUCCAAGCUUGCGAAGGAGGAGGCCGACGGCAUGGACUGUGAAGAGGAGGCCGGUGGCAUGGAGAACGACCCGACUGAUGCCGCUGUGGAGCUUUGUUAAGCAGUGAUAGAACCAACGACUGCGGGGGCUGUUACAUAUUGUGUGCAAGCACCUGUUCAAUUGGUUGAUUGGGAUGCACUAUAGAUUGAAGAAACACAUGACGAGGAAGGAAGGUUAGAAGUUGCUAGUGAAGAGCAACUGUAUGUGCUUUUGGGCUUGAGGGAUAUGAUGAGAGGGCAGAAAAGGCUAGAGAGGCUAGCUGGUACUAAAACAUAUGUUAGAUGUUCGACAGCCCGUUAGGAAGCAUAUGUUUUUGGUGGGAACAUCUCUUCUUUUGAAGCCUCCAACUUAAUUUUCUUUUCCUGGUUACUGAUGAUGUCCCAUGUAAGCCGGGUCCUAAUCCUAUAGCCAUUGUGGCUUCAGUUCCCCUCGAGGAUCGUCUUCCAUGAAUCACCUCAACCACAGGUGACCUCUGUAUAGAUAUGAAGCUAAUGAGCAAUAGAUAUAUUUGUAGA